AACAGGAUUAGAUACCCUGGUAGUCCACGCCGUAAACGAUGUCGACUUGGAGGUUGUUCCCUUGAGGAGUGGCUUCCGGAGCUAACGCGUUAAGUCGACCGCCUGGGGAGUACGGCCGCAAGGUUAAAACUCAAAUAAAUUGACGGGGGCCCGCACAAGCGGUGGAGCAUGUGGUUUAAUUCGAUGCAACGCGAAGAACCUUACCUACUCUUGACAUCCACGGAAUUUGGCAGAGAUGCCUUAGUGCCUUCGGGAACCGUGAGACAGGUGCUGCAUGGCUGUCGUCAGCUCGUGUUGUGAAAUGUUGGGUUAAGUCCCGCAACGAGCGCAACCCUUAUCCUUUGUUGCCAGCGAUUCGGUCGGGAACUCAAAGGAGACUGCCGGUGAUAAACCGGAGGAAGGUGGGGAUGACGUCAAGUCAUCAUGGCCCUUACGAGUAGGGCUACACACGUGCUACAAUGGCGCAUACAAAGAGAAGCGACCUCGCGAGAGCAAGCGGACCUCACAAAGUGCGUCGUAGUCCGGAUCGGAGUCUGCAACUCGACUCCGUGAAGUCGGAAUCGCUAGUAAUCGUGGAUCAGAAUGCCACGGUGAAUACGUUCCCGGGCCUUGUACACACCGCCCGUCACACCAUGGGAGUGGGUUGCAAAAGAAGUAGGUAGCUUAACCUUCGGGAGGGCGCUUACCACUUUGUGAUUCAUGACUGGGGUGAAGUCGUAACAAGGUAACC
rnacentral:rRNA from 1 species